rnacentral:rRNA from 1 species
UGGGGAAUAUUGGGCAAUGGGCGAAAGCCUGACCCAGCGACGCCGCGCGGGUGAUGAAGGCCUUCGGGUCGUAAAGCCCUGUCAGAAGGAAAGAACGAUCUUAUGGUGAAUACCCAUGAGAUGUGACGGUACCUUCGAAGGAAGCACCGGCCAAUUCCGUGCCAGCAGCCGCGGUAAGACGGAAGGUGCAAGCGUUGCUCGGAAUCACUGGGCGUAAAGGGUGCGUAGGCGGCUUCUUAAGUCUGGUGUGAAAGCCCAGGGCUCAGCUCUGGAAGUGCACUAGAUACUGGGAAGCUUGAGUAUCGGAGGGGAGAGUGGAAUUCCUGGUGUAGCGGUGAAAUGCGUAGAUAUCAGGAGGAACACCGGUGGCGAAGGCGGCUCUCUGAACGGUGACUGACGCUGAGACGCGAAAGCGUGGGGAGCAAACAGGAUUAGAUACCCAUGUAGUCCCUGAGCGGGCUGGCAAGGCGCAU